UACGUAGGCGGCUUUUUAAGUCGGAUGUGAAAUCCCUGAGCUUAACUUAGGAAUUGCAUUCGAUACUGGGAAGCUAGAGUAUGGGAGAGGAUGGUAGAAUUCCAGGUGUAGCGGUGAAAUGCGUAGAGAUCUGGAGGAAUACCGAUGGCGAAGGCAGCCAUCUGGCCUAAUACUGACGCUGAGGUACGAAAGCGUGGGAGCAAACA
rnacentral:rRNA from 1 species